GCUAAGUUUGAUGGCGACCGGCGCACGGGUGAGUAACACGUAUCCAACCUGCCGAUGACUCGGGGAUAGCCUUUCGAAAGAAAGAUUAAUACCCGAUGGCAUAGUUCUUCCGCAUGGUAGAACUAUUAAAGAAUUUCGGUCAUCGAUGGGGAUGCGUUCCAUUAGGUUGUUGGCGGGGUAACGGCCCACCAAGCCUUCGAUGGAUAGGGGUUCUGAGAGGAAGGUCCCCCACAUUGGAACUGAGACACGGUCCAAACUCCUACGGGAGGAAGCAUG
rnacentral:rRNA from 1 species